AAAUAAAGCACCACGAGAUAAGCUUUGACAUGCUUACCAUUAAAAACAAAAAAGAAAAUUUCCUCUAGCUGAUUCCUGCCAUAAAUUUCCAUUAGCCAGCACCAACUUGCGUUCUUGGAUAUAUAUGCUUCUUUUCCUACAGCAUAAAAAAUACAAUAUUCUUCCAGGGAAAAAAGAGAUAGAUUAAUUAGAGAGAAAAUAAAAGGUGCAUCAACAACUUUUAACACAUAGCAAAACCUAAGUAACAAAGGUAGCUAAUUUUCACAAGAACCAAACCAAAAAGCCCUAUCUCUUCCUUGCCACGCUUACAUGAAAAUUGCCAGCACAUUUUUGCACAUAUCAGUCGGCUAAUCCAAAACUAACAACUAUCCCCUUUCUCUCUCUCACUGAGAGGGAGGAGGACCCCAAAACACCUCAUGUGGCAUUUGCCCAUUGAGUAGCAAAUUUGGAGGCAAAUUGUAGACAGGCAUUGAACCAUGCUCGCCCAUAGGCUGAGAAGAUUGAGGCCCGGAAUUAUUAUUACCGUUACCACCACCGCCUGCGGUAGUAUUGCUAUUAUCAUUAGUCCCUGAAUUCACUUGCUGCUGCAACUGCGACCCUUCCUGCUCUUGUUCCUCCAGCGGUAAUCUCUCAAAAGUAGCAUUACUAAAUGUUGCUGCUAUCACCAUCACUGGUCCUGCUGCCACCAGCGCCCCCGCCACUGUCCCUCCAACCACCUGCCCUUGCCCACCAGCCAAAUACACAGUCAGCCCCGUUGCUCCAGGAGGUGAAGGAGCAGGAAGAAAUGAACCCGAUAACGAUAAAAUCUCAAAUCUUCCAUGAAGAGUGAUUACCCCACCGGGUGCUGCAGGCUGCCUAAGAGUAAUAUUAGUCACUAUGCCACUUCCACUUAGGAUUGAAACCCCACGGUGGCGGCGUUGAGCAAAAGUUGCAAUGCUUUCAGUGAUGUCACUGCCAGAGCUGAUUUCCAAGACAUGGCUGUGAAGAGAAUUAGGGCUUUCUUUGGUGAUGACUAUGGGCGGUUUUGGUUUGUUUUUCGAACCCGGUGGCCUGCCUCUUGGCCUGCGGGAAGAGCUUCCGCUACCUGGUUCAAUGGUUUCAAAAGCUGUAUUAAGGUCUUCAGAUUCUUGGUGGUUGUAGUCUCUGCUGUCUUCUUGUUCUUCAUGGUUUUGGUUUUGGUUUUGAUUAGGGGUAGAGGUGGACGUGGAGGCGGUCUUAGGGCUAUUGGUGCUAUUGCUUACGUUUGUGUUGGGGGCGAUAAAAUCCCGUUCUCUCCUUGGACCCAAACGGUUCAAACCAGCAGUAUCUUCCUCUGGGUUUCUCAGGUGAAGAGAUGGAGCUGGGGAUAUUGCAUCAACACCUCUCAUGGCAACAUUUCCAGCCCACCAGCGAUUUGCCAUGUUUGAUUCUUGACAAAAGAGCCCUGUACCCCUCUAAAUUUGAAAGAAAGAAAAAAAGAAAAAAAGGAAAAUUCGAGAACCCAAAUAGAGAAAGUCUUCUUUGUAUCGUCACUCUCUGUUGUUCUUAUCUCACAUCAUCUGUACCUUGCUGAAUCAGAAACUGACAAAAACACAACAACGGAAGAAGGACGAGUGUAUUGCUUUAUUAUCACUCUUUGUUUGUUUGUUCAUGCAGAUUCAUAGAUCUCUAACAAAGAACCCCAAAUCCAAAAAUAGAUAUGUACAAAUUCAAAACCUUAUCCUUAUUCUCGCCCAAAGAAUCAACCAAUCCCAACUAGCUACAAGCUAUCCAUAUCUUGCAUGAAUCAGACAUUAGACAUAUGGGUUUCUUUUGUUUUGCAUGAAAAUCAAAACCCUGAACAUCAGCUU
rnacentral:misc_RNA from 1 species